GGUUAAGCGACUAAGCGUACACGGUGGAUGCCCUGGCAGUCAGAGGCGAUGAAGGACGUGCUAAUCUGCGAUAAGCGUCGGUAAGGUGAUAUGAACCGUUAUAACCGGCGAUUUCCGAAUGGGGAAACCCAGUGUGUUUCGACACACUAUCAUUAACUGAAUCCAUAGGUUAAUGAGGCGAACCGGGGGAACUGAAACAUCUAAGUACCCCGAGGAAAAGAAAUCAACCGAGAUUCCCCCAGUAGCGGCGAGCGAACGGGGAGCAGCCCAGAGCCUGAAUCAGUGUGUGUGUUAGUGGAAGCGUCUGGAAAGGCGCGCGAUACAGGGUGACAGCCCCGUACACAAAAAUGCACAUAUUGUGAGCUCGAUGAGUAGGGCGGGACACGUGGUAUCCUGUCUGAAUAUGGGGGGACCAUCCUCCAAGGCUAAAUACUCCUGACUGACCGAUAGUGAACCAGUACCGUGAGGGAAAGGCGAAAAGAACCCCGGCGAGGGGAGUGAAAAAGAACCUGAAACCGUGUACGUACAAGCAGUGGGAGCACGCUUCGGCGUGUGACUGCGUACCUUUUGUAUAAUGGGUCAGCGACUUAUAUUCUGUAGCAAGGUUAACCGAAUAGGGGAGCCGAAGGGAAACCGAGUCUUAACUGGGCGUUAAGUUGCAGGGUAUAGACCCGAAACCCGGUGAUCUAGCCAUGGGCAGGUUGAAGGUUGGGUAACACUAACUGGAGGACCGAACCGACUAAUGUUGAAAAAUUAGCGGAUGACUUGUGGCUGGGGGUGAAAGGCCAAUCAAACCGGGAGAUAGCUGGUUCUCCCCGAAAGCUAUUUAGGUAGCGCCUCGUGAAUUCAUCUCCGGGGGUAGAGCACUGUUUCGGCAAGGGGGUCAUCCCGACUUACCAACCCGAUGCAAACUGCGAAUACCGGAGAAUGUUAUCACGGGAGACACACGGCGGGUGCUAACGUCCGUCGUGAAGAGGGAAACAACCCAGACCGCCAGCUAAGGUCCCAAAGUCAUGGUUAAGUGGGAAACGAUGUGGGAAGGCCCAGACAGCCAGGAUGUUGGCUUAGAAGCAGCCAUCAUUUAAAGAAAGCGUAAUAGCUCACUGGUCGAGUCGGCCUGCGCGGAAGAUGUAACGGGGCUAAACCAUGCACCGAAGCUGCGGCAGCGACACUAUGUGUUGUUGGGUAGGGGAGCGUUCUGUAAGCCUGUGAAGGUGUACUGUGAGGUAUGCUGGAGGUAUCAGAAGUGCGAAUGCUGACAUAAGUAACGAUAAAGCGGGUGAAAAGCCCGCUCGCCGGAAGACCAAGGGUUCCUGUCCAACGUUAAUCGGGGCAGGGUGAGUCGACCCCUAAGGCGAGGCCGAAAGGCGUAGUCGAUGGGAAACAGGUUAAUAUUCCUGUACUUGGUGUUACUGCGAAGGGGGGACGGAGAAGGCUAUGUUGGCCGGGCGACGGUUGUCCCGGUUUAAGCGUGUAGGCUGGUUUUCCAGGCAAAUCCGGAAAAUCAAGGCUGAGGCGUGAUGACGAGGCACUACGGUGCUGAAGCAACAAAUGCCCUGCUUCCAGGAAAAGCCUCUAAGCAUCAGGUAACAUCAAAUCGUACCCCAAACCGACACAGGUGGUCAGGUAGAGAAUACCAAGGCGCUUGAGAGAACUCGGGUGAAGGAACUAGGCAAAAUGGUGCCGUAACUUCGGGAGAAGGCACGCUGAUAUGUAGGUGAAGUCCCUUGCGGAUGGAGCUGAAAUCAGUCGAAGAUACCAGCUGGCUGCAACUGUUUAUUAAAAACACAGCACUGUGCAAACACGAAAGUGGACGUAUACGGUGUGACGCCUGCCCGGUGCCGGAAGGUUAAUUGAUGGGGUCAGCGCAAGCGAAGCUCUUGAUCGAAGCCCCGGUAAACGGCGGCCGUAACUAUAACGGUCCUAAGGUAGCGAAAUUCCUUGUCGGGUAAGUUCCGACCUGCACGAAUGGCGUAAUGAUGGCCAGGCUGUCUCCACCCGAGACUCAGUGAAAUUGAACUCGCUGUGAAGAUGCAGUGUACCCGCGGCAAGACGGAAAGACCCCGUGAACCUUUACUAUAGCUUGACACUGAACAUUGAGCCUUGAUGUGUAGGAUAGGUGGGAGGCUUUGAAGUGUGGACGCCAGUCUGCAUGGAGCCGACCUUGAAAUACCACCCUUUAAUGUUUGAUGUUCUAACGUUGACCCGUGAUCCGGGUUGCGGACAGUGUCUGGUGGGUAGUUUGACUGGGGCGGUCUCCUCCUAAAGAGUAACGGAGGAGCACGAAGGUUGGCUAAUCCUGGUCGGACAUCAGGAGGUUAGUGCAAUGGCAUAAGCCAGCUUGACUGCGAGCGUGACGGCGCGAGCAGGUGCGAAAGCAGGUCAUAGUGAUCCGGUGGUUCUGAAUGGAAGGGCCAUCGCUCAACGGAUAAAAGGUACUCCGGGGAUAACAGGCUGAUACCGCCCAAGAGUUCAUAUCGACGGCGGUGUUUGGCACCUCGAUGUCGGCUCAUCACAUCCUGGGGCUGAAGUAGGUCCCAAGGGUAUGGCUGUUCGCCAUUUAAAGUGGUACGCGAGCUGGGUUUAGAACGUCGUGAGACAGUUCGGUCCCUAUCUGCCGUGGGCGCUGGAGAACUGAGGGGGGCUGCUCCUAGUACGAGAGGACCGGAGUGGACGCAUCACUGGUGUUCGGGUUGUCAUGCCAAUGGCACUGCCCGGUAGCUAAAUGCGGAAGAGAUAAGUGCUGAAAGCAUCUAAGCACGAAACUUGCCCCGAGAUGAGUUCUCCCUGACCCUUUAAGGGUCCUGAAGGAACGUUGAAGACGACGACGUUGAUAGGCCGGGUGUGUAAGCGCAGCGAUGCGUUGAGCUAACCGGUACUAAUGAACCGUGAGGCUUAACCUU
rnacentral:rRNA from 1 species